rnacentral:misc_RNA from 1 species
AAAAUAAUCCUACCCUUUGUGAAUUUUGUUUGUUUGAAUAAUUUUUUUUUUAAAAAAUUAUUGGAGUCUUUCCCUUUAGAGUUUGCUUUUGAGUUUGUAAAAGAAUUCGAAAACAUCUAAAGGGGAUGGUCAAUAAUUUUUUUUGAAAAAAAGACAUUUUUUAAAAUUAAACUUUUUGUAUUCAUUUGUCUAAAAAUUAUUUUUAUAAUAUAAAAACAACUUUUGACAAUGGAUCUCUUGGUUAUCGCAACGAUGAAGAACGCAGCAAAAUGCGAUAAGUAGUGUGAAUUGCAGAAUACGUGAAUCAUCGAAUCUUUGAACGCAUAUUGCACUUUUUUAGUUUACUAAAAAAGUAUGUCUGUUUGAGUAUCAGUAAAAUAUUCUCAUAAAAAUCAUUGUGAAUUUUUAUGGUUAUGAGUGUUUUACAACGAUACAAGUUGUUUCACUUUAAAUUUUUUUUUAAUAUUGAAAUUUUUCUAAUUUUAAUAAUUAAAAUUGGAUAAAAUUUUCCCGUCAAAAGGAAUAACCUAAACAAUUUUAAACGAUUAAUUUUAGCAAAAUUUUCGUAAAAAAGGAAAAUUUUUAUUAAAAUAACUUGAUCUCAAAUCAGAUAAGAGUACCCGCUGAACUUAAGCAUAUCAAUAAGCGGAGGAAAAGAAACUAACAAGGAUUCCCUUAGUAACGGCGAGUGAAGCGGGAAGAGCUCAAAUUUGAAAUCUUCAGGGUUUUACCUUGACGAAUUGUAGUUUAAAGAAGUGUUUUCUGCUGAAGUUUUGGUAAAGGUUCUUUGGAAUAGGACAUCAUAGAGGGUGAGAAUCCCGUAUUUGACCAUUAUUUUCAGCUUUGUGAUACACUUUCAAAGAGUCGGAUUGUUUGGGAAUGCAGUCCAAAAUGGGUGGUAAAUUUCAUCUAAAGCUAAAUAUUGGCGAGAGACCGAUAGCGAACAAGUACCGUGAGGGAAAGAUGAAAAGAACUUUGAAAAGAGAGUUAAACAGUACGUGAAAUUGUCAAAAGGGAAGCGUUUGACACCAGUGUUGUUUUCUCGAAAAUCAAUUAAAAAUGGCUCGAUUUUGUAUUGCUGAGACCUUAAAAGCUCACUGUACAUUUUUCGUGUCUUUUUUAAUGCACUUUUCGUUUAACAAGUCAACAUCAGUUUCUUUUGUUGUAAAAGGGUCAUUGGAAGGUGGCUUUCUUUUCGGAGAAAGUGUUUAUAGCCUUUGGCCUCUGCAAUCGAGAGACUGAGGUCUGCAGCGUAGACUCUUCGGGGUUAGAUACAUUUGUGCUAAGUUAUAGCUUUUAUAGACAACUUGUUGACUAUAAUUAGUCUUGUAGCUUACUCGCUUAUGCUAUUUUACCUAC